GCUAAGCAGCCAACAAAGCCACGGCCACCUCGGCUGUGCUGGGCUCUGCCGUCAGGGCAGCUCACGGGCCACUCCGCAGAAGCAGGGCAUUCUGUCCUUUCUCUUUUUAAAUCCACGUCAUCAUCUGAUCAUCAUGGAAAUCAAUCUCUUCAAGUCACCACGCAAAGGCGUAUCCAUGGCAACCUCAAGAGGAAGGACACAGAAACGAUGCUCCAGCGGCUGCAGCAGGAGAAGAUAACCUCGGACCAACAGUAUGGAAGCUGCAGAGACGUAUUUCAACAAAACAAAAAAGUUCCUUACUGAGAGAUUCCAAGAUGAAACGGGAUGGACGCCUUAUAUGCAUGCAGUAAUUUCCCCACUAUUAGAAACGUGCAAGUCCAGACCAGCCACUGGGCAAGGAUAUUUUAGAUGGAACUCAACUGUCACAGGGGUAACCAGACUAGAACCACAGCAUGUUAGAUCUGAAAGGAAUCUUAGAGAUCUUCUAGUCCAGUCUGCUAUUUUAUAGGCCCGGACAGGGAAGCGAUCACUCAGAAGCAGCCCAGUUUGCUGUGGAGAGCAGGGAGCAGAGCACGGUCUCCUUCAAUCCAGUGAUCCACAUCCUUGCUGCUCAAAGUGUGUGUGGUCCACGGAUCAGCAGCUUCAGCGUCACCUGGGAACCAAAUCUGUAUUUUAUUGAACAAGAAACCCCCCCUCCUCCCCUCGGCCAGAUGCAUGCGCCACUAAAGUUCAAAAAGCACUGACCUACACUACACCCUUCCAAACCUUUAGUUUCGAUGCUGGAACUCCAUUUCCCAAACCGUUUCAUAUGUUAAACGGAAACAGUGCCCAAGAUUUUCCAUUCAAAUCUGGGAAACUCUCCAUACUGUUUACUUCCAGUGGGAAGUUCAAGGUAAAUAUCAUUAGCAUAUUGAAAACUGGCACAUUCUAUGGUAGAGAAAACCCUAACCAUGAAGUUUCUAAACAUAUUUGAGCACAAAACGCCUUUUGAAAACAGUUACCGUUAACUACUAUCCUUAACGUCCCGUGGCUUGGGCUUUGGCAGUCAGUCAGGUAAAGUGUCAGUCUCCACCUCAGAGCUCCUCGACUCUCAGGACCUUAAGCACAUGCAUUCGUAACUCGUCAGUAUGGGCGUGCUGCUCUGCUCACUGUAAAAAUGAAGGCAAGUUUCCACGUGACCGCCUCUUUAACAACAGCGGAGUUCCUCGUCUGAGUGAUUUCGUUGGGAGGAUGCGCAAGACGACUUCCCAAGGGUCAUCCUUCCAGCAACGAAGUUAACAUCAGUCCAGGUCGGUGAUUCAUGAUCAGUCUCGGGGCAGCUUGAUGGCUGAUGGAGGCUUAGAGUCUGCCUUCAACGCAGCCGUCACUGCAGAAAUCCAGGCUCGCGAGCUGACAGAGAUGUGGACAGGAGCACCACCGAUUUGCUGAGGUGUCCUGACUGAAGGCCAUGUAUUUGAAGCCAAGAAUGUCUCCAAGCUACAGAAAGGCAUAAACAAAACCCCUCAUCACUUAAGAAUAAUCAUUGUUAAUAUUUUUGGUGCACAGUCUUCCAGAAUUUCAAAAGUGCAGACGUUUGCUGACGAUACUGCCUGUGGUGCCAGAGCUGGUCCCAGCGACCUGCGUCCUUUUCACUCACAGGCUAUUGAAGCCAAAAAAGCAGCACAGAAGGAAAAAGAAAUUGAUGAACAGGAAGCGAAUGCCUCGACAUUUCACAGAAGAUCUUAUUAGUACAGGAAUCUAUGAAUCUUCUGGAAAACAGUGUUUGCCUCUGGUUCAACUCAUACAACAGCUUCUUAGAAACAUCGCUUCUCAGUCGCCAGAUUGAAAGGUGUUGCCCGUCGGGUAUCGUCACGUCUAGACUGAGCAGCACAGUCGUGGAAGAUCUGCGCCACCGCAUUUGCUGCUGCGUUUUCAGCACCUACUUCUCAGUAAACCUCAUCCAGGAGGACGUGUUGGUCAGACUUCAGGUAUUUCUACUUAAAAGCGAAAGUCAGUACGGAGUCACACGAGCCUCUCCUAACAGCAGCUGUCCCUAGAAGUACGGGUCAUCUGAAGACACCACUGCCAGCCCCACCAUGGCCGCCCUCCGUGUGCUCACUGCCACGGCCCCGAGGAUUUGCACACACUUGACAGUGCAGUAACACCGAGCUACUGAUGUAGGUGCAGAAACCACACUUGGAGGGAGAGCUGCAGAUUCCCCAGCGCCCAGGGGGACCUGCCCCCAAGGCCCACCCAGCCCCCCGAUGUCCAUGACUUCCAUGUGGACCGGCCUCUUGAGGAGGCGCUGGUGAACCCGGAGCUGAUUCACCCCUUCAUCCCAGAGGGCAGAGAUGCUGGGCCAGGCCCCGCCUGUGUGCCUCCAACCCUGGACAACUCAGGUCUCCUGUUCCUCUGCUCCAGCCUCAUUCAGCCACAGCGGGCCUACUCCAUGCCUGGUCCUGUCCCCAGCCAGGCGAUGAGGUCACCCAGUUCCCUGUGCGGUCGGCCCCCCGCCGGGUGCUGCUGACGGAUCCAUCAGGAGGAGGCAGCGCGUCCCGCUGCCGCGCCCGCCAUGGUGCUGGUUCUCUGGCGGCUGCCUUCCUGGUCAGGGGUGGUCCUGGGGGAGCCCUGAGUGUACGGUGUCCUCAUGUCGGAAACCCCAGUGGGAAGGAAAGUCUGGUUUGAUUUUGUUCUCAGAGACAUUAAACACUAGUUCAAUUUUGAGAUUCA